AGGCAUGCCAUUUUAAUAAGCUGUUAAGGCGUCGGAACGCCGAAUACGGGACAAAUACAGGACAUUAAAGAAUUACAAAACAUUUGUCUAUCCCGUAUAAUACAGGACGGAUGGUCACCGUAGGUACAGCAGACUUAAAAAAUCGUAAGCAAAUUCUACCCUGCAAAAGUAAAUUCUAGUUUUAUUGAUUCUAAAUUGAGAAAUUCCUCACAUAAAUAAACAAUUGCUGAAGAUAUUUAGCAAUUACUGCAAUUGCUUUUUCUAAAGGUAAUUGCUUGAAAAUAUAUUUAUACAAAUUUACGUAGAAAUUCAGUAAUCAUAGAAAAAGCCAUUGCUUAGUUUUUAUUCAUCAGGCUCAAUAUGCACAUGCACCGCCAAACAGUCACAUACGAAUUUACGCCCAUCGGAGACUUUUCAAUAAUUCAAAGUAUUUUUUUUAAGACUUUGAAAAGUUUGCUUUUGGGAUAACAAUAACACUUUUUAUAUGUUUUAUUAUAAACAAUAUGCAUAGUCAUAUCGAAAGAGUUUUAAAUGAAGGCAUAGUGCUCGGAUAUUUAAGCAAAGCUAUAUGCUUCCUCUUUAGAAACAAUUCAAGCAAGUGUAGGAACUGUGAAUCAAUCAGUAGCAAAUAUUUUCGUUAAAUAGAUCUAUUUUAAAACUCUUUUGAUACGGGCUAUAUUGUUAAAUUCAUAUGGUUUCUUGAUAUUCGUAUCUAUUUUGUACGCAUAAAAGAAUACCUAUCAGUCUGUUAUACGUACCUUGAAAGAUUCCUGAAAAUAAAUUGCCUACAAUUAAUGCAAAUACGUAUAUUUCCUGUUGUUAUCAUUGCAUUACAUCACUGCCAUGGUCUAGUAAGUGUUCGUAUUGCUACUAAAGCGUGAAAUGUUCUAGUUUUUUUGCGCAACGUUCGGAAUCUAUAAAUUUAGGAUAUACAUACAUACAAACACUUCACAUGGCUGAUUUGAUGCUAUUUAAAUAUUCUUGUUUUAAACAAAAUGACAAAUGGAGAAUAUUUAAUAAGAAAAUUUUUAUUGUUUUCUUAAACCAUGCUUUGGGCGCAUUUAUUUGCAGGAUGCUAAAGACAAACAAACAAUUAACAAGACCGCUACAAAGGAAGCAAACAAGAAAGAAGCAAAAGCAAAGUAAAAAAUCUGCGUCAAAUAAUUAGAUUAAUAAUAUUGGUGAAAAUCUGGGCGAGUUUAUUUAAAUUUGCUACUACAGAGAUUUGUAAAUCAGAUUUUAAAGUUAAUUAAUGAACUGUUUGAGUAUUUGACAUUGCAAUGCAAUAAAAAAUAGUAACCAAAUUUUAAAUAAACACAAUAAAACAUAAUUUAACAGAAAUGGUUUAUAUAACUGUCCAUACGUAGUGUAACUUAAUAAACAAAAAUUAGCGAUUUAUAAAAAAAAAAUAGAAAGUUGUAAGCACAUUUCCGAUAUUUUUAUCUAAAAUUUGAGUCAAAUGAAAUUUUUAAAUUAAUUUUUACUCACUUUGCUACACAAUUUAUUGAUACAAAAUUUGUUAUGAAAAUGGCAGUUACAUAUAAUGAACAGAAUUAUAUAUAAAAUCAGUAAAAGUAUGAAAGCAAAUACAGCUUCGACAAAAGAUGUUUGCAUAUGAUCACUUUAUGUCAGUUAUAAAUUGGAUAUUUUCCGCUAAAAUAAUGAAAAUAGAAUUAACAAAACAAGAACUUAAUUUGUAAGCAAAAGCGCAACAUUAUUGCUUCAAUAAAUAUUUUCACUUAUCUUUUGCCGUUUGUCAAUAACAUUGUAUAUUUACUGCAAGUUAAAAGUAAAGUUUUGCAGUAUAUUAUAUAAGUUGAUUUCGAUUAUAUAACAUAACACAAUUAAAGUACAGCUUAUUUGUGUUUGUCAACCAUUUUCUCCGCGUAUGAAUUUUAAAGAAGGAAUGUAACAAGCAUUUGCUGGCAAAAAAUUCCUGACACAUAAAAUUCAACAUUCAAAAGCAAUCUUAGUAAAACUAUAGUAAAUAUUUAAAAUACAUAAAUUGAAAUACAUAUAAAAAUGUUCUCGGCAAAUAAUUCAGAUACGAUUAAAUUGCUUAAUAGUCCUUAAUUUAUCAGUACUAAUUACAAUAAUCAAAGGAUGAAACGCGAUGAGCUUAUCCUGUGCAGAUGGUGCAAAGGAAUAAUGCGAUAAAUGUUAUUUGUUUGUCUUGAGUCAAUUGGAGGGCUGUAUCACAUACUUGUACAUAUGUAUGUACAUAUAUGGCGUUUGAGCGACCAACCUAUUGUUUAUGUUGUACAUAGCUGCAGCAAUAAACUGCCGUUCGCUAGCAGUAAAUAGUUCACAUGACAUAUUACAGACAACGUUGUCUAAGGCAAUUUCAAAAUGAUUGAAGUUUCAUGAGGAAACGGAUUUAACACAAACCACAUAAUCGAUCUUUAUAUACAUGCAUACAUAUACACAUAAACGUAUAUACAUACAUACCUAUAAAUGUACUAAAUGUCUAUUUCAGCGUGAAACCUUAAAUAAAAUAUUAGUAAAUCAAUGUU